GACGGGGCCCGCACAAGCGGUGGAGUAUGUGGUUUAAUUCGAUGCAACGCGAAGAACCUUACCUGGUCUUGACAUCCCGGAGACCCUUAGGAAACUAGGGGUGCUUCCAUCUGGAAGAAUCUGGAGACAGGUGCUGCAUGGCUGUCGUCAGCUCGUGUCGUGAGAUGUUGGGUUAAGUCCCGCAACGAGCGCAACCCUUGCCUUUAGUUGCCAGCAGUUCGGCUGGGCACUCUAAAGGGACUGCCGGUGUUAAACCGGAGGAAGGUGGGGAUGACGUCAAGUCCUCAUGGCCUUUAUGACCAGGGCUACACACGUACUACAAUGGCCGAUACAAAGGGCAGCGACACUGCGAGGUGAAGCCAAUCCCGUAAAAUCGGUCUCAGUCCGGAUUGGAGUCUGCAACUCGACUCCAUGAAGUUGGAAUCGCUAGUAAUCGUGGAUCAGCAUGUCACGGUGAAUACGUUCCCGGGCCUU
rnacentral:rRNA from 1 species